CUGUAGUAAUUCUAGAGCUAAUACAUGCCACAAUGCCCUAAGCUUCCGGCUCUGGGUGGAUUUAUUAGAACAGAACCAAUCGGUAGCUUCGGUUACCGUUAAUUGGUGAUGACUCUGGAUAACUUUACUGAUCGCAUUGUCGUAAGACGGCGACGGAUCCUUCAAAUGGCUGCCCUAUCACACUUUCGAUGGUAGGUGACCUGCCUACCAUGGUGCUGACGGGUAACGGGGAAUCAGGGUUCGAUUCCGGAGAGGGAGCCUGAGAAAUGGCUACCACAUCCAAGGAAGGCAGCAGGCGCGCAAAUUACCCAAUCCCAGAACGGGGAGGUAGUGACGAAAAAUACGGAGACGGGACCUAUUCUAGGCCUCCGACAUCCGAAUGAGUACAUUUUAAAGCCUUUAACGAGGAACAACUGGAGGGCAAGCCUGGUGCCAGCAGCCGCGGUAACUCCAGCUCCAGAAGCGUAUAUUAAAGUUGUUGCAGUUAAAAAGCUCGUAGUUGGAUCUGGGUUUAUGACUUGUUGCCGUGUUUAGCUUCAGUUCACUUUCAUCUAGUGGCUGUAUGUUAACCGGUGACUGCGUCGUGUAACCUUUCUGCCGUUUCUGUUACCUUAACGGGUUCAGAUGCUUGCAACUUCGGUUGUAAUGCAUGUUUUCAAUUGCCCUUUAUUGGGUGGUUGUUACGGACGGCUAUUUUACUUUGAACAAAUUUGAGUGCUCAAAGCAGGCCAAUGUGCCUGAAAAGUCUUGCAUGGAAUAAUGAAAUAGGACUUCAGUUCUAUUUUGUUGGUUUUCGGAAUUGAAGUAAUGGUUAAGAGGGACAAACGGGGGCAUUUGUAUGGCGGCGUUAGAGGUGAAAUUCUGGGAUCGUCGCCAGACAAACUACAGCGAAAGCAUUUGCCAAGGAUGUUUUCAUUGAUCAUGAGCGAAAGUCAGAGGAUCGAAGACGAUCAGAUACCGUCCUAGUUCUGACCAUAAACUAUGCCAACUGACGAUCCG
rnacentral:rRNA from 1 species